rnacentral:rRNA from 1 species
AGAGUUUGAUCAUGGCUCAGGAUGAACGCUGGCGGCGUGCUUAACACAUGCAAGUCGAGCGAAGCAGUUAAGUUGAUUUCUUCGGAUUGAUUCUUAAUUGACUGAGCGGCGGACGGGUGAGUAACGCGUGGGUGACCUGCCCCAUACCGGGGGAUAACAGCUGGAAACGGCUGCUAAUACCGCAUAAGCGCACAGAGCUGCAUGGCUCGGUGUGAAAAACUCCGGUGGUAUGGGAUGGGCCCGCGUCUGAUUAGGCAGUUGGCGGGGUAACGGCCCACCAAACCGACGAUCAGUAGCCGGCCUGAGAGGGCGACCGGCCACAUUGGGACUGAGACACGGCCCAAACUCCUACGGGAGGCAGCAGUGGGGAAUAUUGCACAAUGGGGGAAACCCUGAUGCAGCGACGCCGCGUGAGCGAAGAAGUAUUUCGGUAUGUAAAGCUCUAUCAGCAGGGAAGAUAAUGACGGUACCUGACUAAGAAGCCCCGGCUAACUACGUGCCAGCAGCCGCGGUAAUACGUAGGGGGCAAGCGUUAUCCGGAUUUACUGGGUGUAAAGGGAGCGUAGACGGCAAGGCAAGUCUGAUGUGGAAACCCAGGGCUUAACCCUGGGACUGCAUUGGAAACUGUCUGGCUCGAGUGCCGGAGAGGUAAGCGGAAUUCCUAGUGUAGCGGUGAAAUGCGUAGAUAUUAGGAAGAACACCAGUGGCGAAGGCGGCUUACUGGACGGUAACUGACGUUGUGGCUCGAAAGCGUGGGGAGCAAACAGGAUUAGAUACCCUGGUGGUCCAUGCCGUAAACGAUGAUUACUAGGUGUUGGGGGAUUGACCCCCUCAGUGCCGCAGUUAACACAAUAAGUAAUCCACCUGGGGAGUACGACCGCAAGGUUGAAACUCAAAGGAAUUGACGGGGGCCCGCACAAGCAGUGGAGUAUGUGGUUUAAUUCGAAGCAACGCGAAGAACCUUACCAGGUCUUGACAUCCGAUGCAUAGCACAGAGAUGUGUGAAAUCCUUCGGGACAUCGAGACAGGUGGUGCAUGGUUGUCGUCAGCUCGUGUCGUGAGAUGUUGGGUUAAGUCCCGCAACGAGCGCAACCCUUAUUGCCAGUUACUACGUUAAGAGGACUCUGGCGAGACUGCCGUUGACAAAACGGAGGAAGGUGGGGAUGACGUCAAAUCAUCAUGCCCUUUAUGACCUGGGCUACACACGUACUACAAUGGCGUUAAACAAAGAGAAGCAAGACCGCGAGGUGGAGCAAAACUCAAAAACAACGUCUCAGUUCAGAUUGCAGGCUGCAACUCGCCUGCAUGAAGUCGGAAUUGCUAGUAAUCGCGGAUCAGCAUGCCGCGGUGAAUACGUUCCCGGGCCUUGUACACACCGCCCGUCACACCAUGAGAGCCGGGGGGACCCGAAGUCGAUAGUCUAACCGCAAGGAGGACGUCGCCGAAGGUAAAACUGGUGAUUGGGGUGAAGUCGUAACAAGGUA